rnacentral:ncRNA from 1 species
CGAUGAAGCGGGAGGUUGCGGCAAGAAAAUGCCGGUUUUUCCGUGGAGAAUGUCCGAUUCAAGAAACCGGGCGGC